GACGAACGCUGGCGGCGUGCCUAAUACAUGCAAGUAGAACGCUGAAGGAGGAGCUUGCUCUUCUGGAUGAGUUGCGAACGGGUGAGUAACGCGUAGGUAACCUGCCUGGUAGCGGGGGAUAACUAUUGGAAACGAUAGCUAAUACCGCAUAACAGUAGAUGUUGCAUGACAUUUGCUUAAAAGGUGCAAUUGCACCACUACCAGAUGGACCUGCGUUGUAUUAGCUAGUUGGUGGGGUAACGGCUCACCAAGGCGACGAUACAUAGCCGACCUGAGAGGGGGAUCGGCCACACUGGGACUGGGACACGGCCCAGACUCCUACGGGAGGCAGCAGUAGGGAAUCUUCGGCAAUGGACGGAAGUCUGACCGAGCAACGCCGCGUGAGUGAAGAAGGUUUUCGGAUCGUAAAGCUCUGUUGUAAGAGAAGAACGAGUGUGAGAGUGGAAAGUUCACACUGUGACGGUAGCUUACCAGAAAGGGACGGCUAACUACGUG
rnacentral:rRNA from 1 species